rnacentral:rRNA from 1 species
AACGAACGCCGGCGGCAGGCUUAACACAUGCAAGUCGAGCGCCCCGCAAGGGGAGCGGCAGACGGGUGAGUAACGCGUGGGAAUCUACCCAUCUCUACGGGAUAACGCAUGGAAACGUGUGCUAAUACCGUAUACGUCCUUCGGGAGAAAGAUUUAUCGGAGAUGGAUGAGCCCGCGUUGGAUUAGCUAGUUGGUGGGGUAAAGGCCUACCAAGGCGACGAUCCAUAGCUGGUCUGAGAGGAUGAUCAGCCACACUGGGACUGAGACACGGCCCAGACUCCUACGGGAGGCAGCAGUGGGGAAUAUUGGACAAUGGGCGCAAGCCUGAUCCAGCCAUGCCGCGUGAGUGAUGAAGGCCCUAGGGUUGUAAAGCUCUUUCACCGAUGAAGGUAAUGACGGUAACCGGAGAAGAAGCCCCGGCUAACUUCGUGCCAGCAGCCGCCGUAACAC